UCUAAUUAUCCCUACUUUCUACACGCAUUUAAGUGUUUUUUUUAUUUUUUAGUAUUUUUCAUUUUUUUUCAUGUUUUCUGCAAUAUCGCGGUUACCGCGUCAAACCGCGACCAAACCGCGAAACCGCCAAUUUUUUAAUUCAAUUUUUUCGAGAUGAAAUUCACACGGUUUUUAGCGGUUACCGUUGGGGGGUAACCUCCCCAAAAACGGUAAGGUAAACCUGGGCGUGGCCAAAUCACUUUGUCAUGUCACACACAGUCGGCGUGGCAGUGGCAAGAGGCUGGCGUGGCAAAACAACGCUACCACACUAGCUACUUGGCUGGCGUGGCCAAAAAUUUCAGUUUUCGGAAAUAUUUUUCGGAAAUGUCUAUUAAUAAAAUUUUAAAAUAAAAAAAUCCGAAUAUUUGCUAUGUUGUCGCUAAUGACCCCAUUUGGACAUGGUUAAUAACUAUGUUAUUUACGCAUGUGGCAAUUUAAUUAACAAAAUAAUAACUAUGUCUAUCUAUCUUAAAUUGUGUUUCUAAAUGUCACUGUAGUGUUAACACAGACAGAUUACUAGUAUUCAAUGAAAUUGACACACCCUGUAUCGGUUCUAUCUAUCUACCCUAUAGUUCAACAAAUACUUUCACUCAUUCUUUCAUUCAUCACUCUAGGGUUCAGAUUAUUCGUAUGAGAUCCAACGCUCCUGAUCUUCUCCUCCUCCCACCUCUGUAUUCGCCGCUCUUCCAACCCCAUCAGCGCCCAGAUCGCUCCCCCUCCCGUUGCCCCCUCUCCCCCUCCUCUUUCUCGUACCCACCCGAAAAUCACGCCGCGAGAUCCCCAGCGCCAAACCCAUCGUCCACCAUGGCGACUCCUCGAACCCUCUAGCGUCGCCACUCAGUGCCACAGUUUGAAGGUGUUUUUUUUUGUGUGAUUAUGAUGGCUCAUGCUCUGUUGCAACGGUUGCUAUGAGUAUUGGACGAACUGAUUAGAUCUCGAGGAGAGGAUCAUGGCCUUGGUUGCCUCAUCGUUAUGCAGGUGGAUCAAGUGUAUUAUUUGAUUAUUCAAGGCCGCAUGCUCGCCGUCGACCCCAACACCCCUGGUGACGAUCCUCGUCAGAUCAAGGCCAAAAGCUGCCCCCCAUCCUCUGUUCCACCCCUGCAGUGUUCGCGCACGCCGGCUCCCUCCACUCCGGCUCCCUUGCCAUCUCCCCCGCGCUGCCUCGACGCCGGCUCGCUCGUCGUCUCCCAAACGCCGCUGCUCGCGACCACAGGAGAAGGAACCCGCUGCACAACGCUCUUCCCGGACGCCGCGUCGCCCUUUCUUCUCAGACCUUCCCGGUGAAAGCGGCGUUGGAGCCUGAGAUCAAGCGGUCCUUCUCGAUUCAGUCCUCCUCCUUUCUCGUCUCCAAGCAGCAUGUCCUCCCUGGACCUCGGCUCCUCACUCGUCACCCUCUCUAAGGAGAGGAGAAGCCCUGGUUCUGGUUGAUCUCCAGCCGAACGGCAAGAACGACGAUGUCAUCUGCAGAUGCAGUACGUUCUGCUUGGUUUCAGCCGAGCGGCAAGAACAACAGUGGCGGCAGCAGCAAGCCCGACGUCCGGCUCCCUGUGCGCCAUGCUGCCUGACUCUUGCUCGCCCCACAGGCCACAGCUCGGGGUGGGUUGCCGCCAAAUUGGGGUGCGGCGGCGGCGCACGGGAGGCAUGAACGGCAGCGGCGCGUGGGAGGAGGAGACAGUGGCGAGCGAGUCCGGUCGCGAUGAGGACGAGGCAGCGCCGUGGCGAUGUUGAGAUGAAGGGCAACGAUAGAAAUUAACAAACGUGACUAGGACGAAUGAACUGGUAGCGUCAAACAAAAAAAACGAUUCUGAUUUGCACUGUAGCGUCAAAUAAAAAGAAACAGAGGGAGUACAAUACAAAGAUCAAAACAGACUUGGUGGUGGUGAUUGUAUUGACCAUCAAGCAGGUAAUUUUUCUUGUGAUGUUCAUGUUUACUAUUAUGUCCAAACUCCAUAGACAACUUACACAUUUAGAAUUACAUCUUGUAUAGACAAAUAAGUGUAUGUAUUAAAAAUGUCUGAAGAAAAUGGACUGUAUGAUCAUAGUGCCUUUCAACCGUUGUUUUGUGCAAUGUCCAUGAUAUCUCCUCGAGAUUAA